rnacentral:rRNA from 1 species
CCUACGGGUGGCUGCAGUAGGGAAUUUUGCGCAAUGGACGAAAGUCUGACGCAGCAAUACCGUGUGAGGGAUGAAGCAUUUCGGUGUGUAAACCUCUGUCGAUGACGAAUAAUGCAUCUGGGAGUGGAAAGCCCAGGUGUUGAAGGUAGUCAGAAAGGAAGCACCGGCUAACUCUGUGCCAGCAGCCGCGGUAAUACAGGGGGUGCAAGCGUUGUUCGGAAUUACUGGGCGUAAAGGGAGCGUAGGCGGGAUUACAAGACAGGGGUUAAAUCUCC